AUUGAACGCUGGCGGCAUGCCUUACACAUGCAAGUCGAACGGUAACAGGUCUUCGGAUGCUGACGAGUGGCGAACGGGUGAGUAAUACAUCGGAACGUGCCUAGUAGUGGGGGAUAACUACUCGAAAGAGUGGCUAAUACCGCAUGAGAUCUACGGUUGAAAGCAGGGGAUCGCAAGACCUUGUGCUACUAGAGCGGCCGAUGGCAGAUUAGGUAGGUGGGGGGAUAAAAGCUUACCAAGCCGACGAUCUGUAGCUGGUCUGAGAGGACGACCAGCCACACUGGGACUGAGACACGGCCCAGACUCCUACGGGAGGCAGCAGUGGGGAAUUUUGAACAAUGGGCGAAAGCCUGAUCCAGCAAUGCCGCGUGCAGGAUGAAGGCCUUCGGGUUGUAAACUGCUUUUGUACGGAACGAAAAGCCCUGGGUUAAUACCCUGGGGUCAUGACGGUACCGUAAGAAUAAGCACCGGCUAACUACGUGCCAGCAGCCGCCGUAA
rnacentral:rRNA from 1 species